rnacentral:misc_RNA from 1 species
GAUGAAGAACGUAGCGAAAUGCGAUAAGAAAUGUGAAUUGCAGAAUUCAGUGAAUCAUCGAAUCUUUGAACGCACAUUGCGCCCCCUGGUAUUCCGGGGGGCAUGCCUGUUCGAGCGUCAUUUCACCACUCAAGCCUCGCUUGGUAUUGGGCAACGCGGUCCGCCGCGUGCCUCAAAUCGACCGGCUGGGUCUUCUGUCCCCUAAGCGUUGUGGAAACUAUUCGCUAAAGGGUGUUCGGGAGGCUACGCCGUAAAACAACCCCAUUUCUAAGGUUGACCUCGGAUCAGGUAGGGAUACCCGCUGAACUUAAGCAUAUCAAUAAGCGGAGGA